rnacentral:rRNA from 1 species
UACGAAGGGGGCUAGCGUUGCUCGGAAUCACUGGGCGUAAAGCGCACGUAGGCGGGUCGUUGAGUCAGGGGUGAAAUCCUGGAGCUCAACUCCAGAACUGCCCUUGAUACUGGCGAUCUCGAGUUCGGGAGAGGUGAGUGGAACUGCGAGUGUAGAGGUGAAAUUCGUAGAUAUUCGCAAGAACACCAGUGGCGAAGGCGGCUCACUGGCCCGAUACUGACGCUGAGGUGCGAAAGCGUGGGGAGCAAACAGG